AGGCCCGGGAGAUCUGGCAGCUGGAGUUCGACGCGCUGCGCCGCGUCGGGGCCUGCUGGGUACUGACCAACCACCCGUUCCUGACCGGACGGGCUUC
rnacentral:tRNA from 1 species